UAGAGUUUUGAUCAUGGCUCAGGAUGAACGCUAGCGGGAGGCCUAACACAUGCAAGCCGAGCGGUAGAGAUCUUUCGGGAUCUUGAGAGCGGCGUACGGGUGCGGAACACGUGUGCAACCUGCCUUUAUCAGGGGGAUAGCCUUUCGAAAGGAAGAUUAAUACCCCAUAAUAUAUUGAAUGGCAUCAUUUGAUAUUGAAAACUCCGGUGGAUAGAGAUGGGCACGCGCAAGAUUAGAUAGUUGGUAGGGUAACGGCCUACCAAGUCAGUGAUCUUUAGGGGGCCUGAGAGGGUGAUCCCCCACACUGGUACUGAGACACGGACCAGACUCCUACGGGAGGCAGCAGUGAGGAAUAUUGGACAAUGGGUGAGAGCCUGAUCCAGCCAUCCCGCGUGAAGGACGACGGCCCUAUGGGUUGUAAACUUCUUUUGUAUAGGGAUAAACCUUUCCACGUGUGGAAAGCUGAAGGUACUAUACGAAUAAGCACCGGCUAACUCCGUGCCAGCAGCCGCGGUAAUACGGAGGGUGCAAGCGUUAUCCGGAUUUAUUGGGUUUAAAGGGUCCGUAGGCGGAUCUGUAAGUCAGUGGUGAAAUCUCAUAGCUUAACUAUGAAACUGCCAUUGAUACUGCAGGUCUUGAGUAAAGUAGAAGUGGCUGGAAUAAGUAGUGUAGCGGUGAAAUGCAUAGAUAUUACUUAGAACACCAAUUGCGAAGGCAGGUCACUAUGUUUUAACUGACGCUGAUGGACGAAAGCU
rnacentral:rRNA from 1 species